AGUCUUUGUGUGGACAUGUGCUUUCCUUUAUCUUGGGUGUAUUUAUAGGACCGAACUGCUGAUUUACACACACUGUAGGAAAGCACCGGUCUCUUCUUCAACGCCUGGUAACCUCAGACUUUGGGACGACAGCCAUUCUGUUAGGAAGGCAUCGGUCUCUUCUUCAAUGCCUGGUAAACUCAGACUUUGAGACGACAGCCAUUCUGUUAGGAAGGCAUCGGUCUCUUCCUCAACGCCUGGUAACCUCAGACUUUGGGACGACAGCCAUUCUGUUAGGAAGGCAUCGGUCUCUUCUUCAAUGCCUGGUAACCUCAGACUUUGAGACGACAGCCAUUCUGUUAGGAAGGCAUCGGUCUCUUCCUCAACGCCUGGUAACCUCAGACUUUGGGACGACAGCCAUUCUGUUAGGAAGGCAUCGGUCUCUUCCUCAACGCCUGGUAACCUCAGACUUUGGGACGACAGCCAUUCUGUUAGGAAGGCAUCGGUCUCUUCCUCAACGCCUGGUAAACUCAGACUUUGGGACGACAGCCAUUCUGUUAGGAAGGCAUCGGUCUCUUCCUCAACGCCUGGUAACCUCAGACUUUGGGACGACAGCCAUUCUGUUAGGAAGGCAUCGGUCUCUUCUUCAACGCCUGGUAACCUCAGACUUUGAGACGACAGCCAUUCUGUUAGGAAGGCAUCAGUCUCUUCCUCAACGCCUGGUAACCUCAGACUUUGGGACGACAGCCAUUCUGUUGGGUGUGUUGUGGCCUGCCUGCCAUUUCCCUGUCUUCUGACUUCCAUAGUAUCUGUCAUGAAGCCCACAGUCGUCAUUCUCACCUUUGCACCUCAGCAUGGAAUGGGUCUUUUCUCUCCAGCUACUUUUAAAAUGUUUUCUUUACCACCCGUUUUCAGCAAUUUGAUUGUGGUAGGCCUUGUAAGUAUUUAUUGUGUGUCUGUGUGUAUGUGUAUGCUUUUUUACUUGAGAUUACUUGAGCUUCCUAGAUCUAUUCACUUAGAGUUUUCAUCAAAUUUAGAAAUGUUUUGGCCCCUAUUUGUUCAAAUGUUGUUCUCUCAUUUCCUUUACUCCUUCUGGGAUCCCAGGUAUAAUUAUGUGACACCUUGGUGUUGUUCCACAGGUUACUGAGACUUCGUCUCAAAAAUAAAAAAAGAGUUUCACUCUCGUCACACAGGCUGGAGUGCAAUGGUGCAAUCUUGGCUCACUGCAACCUCCGCCUCCCGAGUUCAAGCUAUUCUCCUGCCUCAGCCACCUGAGUAGCUGGGACUACAGGUAUGCAGCCACCAUGCCUGGCUAAUUUUUGUAUUUUUUAGUACAAAUGGGGUUUCACCAUGUUGGCCAGGCUGGUCUUGAACUCCUAACCUCAAGUGGUACUCCUGCCUCGGCCUCCCAAAGUACUGGGAUUACAGGUGUGAGCCACUGCACCUGGCAUGAGAUUGUAUCUUUUUCCUUAGUCUUUUCAUUUUCUGUGCAUUGUUUCCAAUUUACUUGAUUGCUAUUUUAUUAAAUCCACUCAUCUGCUUUAGGAAAACAUAUGGUCAAACUCAAUCAUCUAGAUUUUGAGAAUAAAUUUUUGGAUUUUGAAGCUACAGCCUUCUCAGUCAAAAAGUUCUUAACUAGGAAAGGUUUAAGCAAAGCAAGGCUAUGGGCUGCUGCCUGUGGAUUUUUUUUAUUUUUGUAUGUUUUUAAAUAAAGUUUUAGCUGGGCACAGUAGCUCACACUUGUAAUCCCAAAUACUUUGAGAGGCUGAGGUGGAAGGAUUGCUUAAGCCCAUGAAUUUGAGACUAGCCUGGCCAACAUAGUGAGAUAAUGAGAAAACUUCUCUACAAAAAAUAAAAAAUAUUAGCCAGGUAUGGUGACACAUGCCUGUAGUCCCAGCUGAGGUGGGAGGAUUGCUUGAGACCAGGAGCUUGAAGCUACUGUGAGCCAUGAUCAGGCCACUGCACUCCAACCUGGGAGACAGAGUGAGACCUUGUCUCAAAAAAAUAAAAAUAAAGUUUGAUUGGAGCAUAGCUAUGCUUAUUUAUUUACGAAUUCUAUGAUUUGUUGUGAUUUACGUUGACAAAAUUCAGUAGGUAAACCUGAGACCAUAUGGCUUGCAAGGCCUGAAACACUAU
rnacentral:lncRNA from 10 species